ACUGUGAGGUAUGCUGGAGGUAUCAGAAGUGCGAAUGCUGACAUAAGUAACGAUAAAGCGGGUGAAAAGCCCGCUCGCCGGAAGACCAAGGGUUCCUGUCCAACGUUAAUCGGGGCAGGGUGAGUCGACCCCUAAGGCGAGGCCGAAAGGCGUAGUCGAUGGGAAACAGGUUAAUAUUCCUGUACUUGGUGUUACUGCGAAGGGGGGACGGAGAAGGCUAUGUUGGCCGGGCGACGGUUGUCCCGGUUUAAGCGUGUAGGCUGGUUUUCCAGGCAAAUCCGGAAAACCAAGGCUGAGGCGUGAUGACGAGGCACUACGGUGCUGAAGCGACAAAUGCCCUGCUUCCAGGAAAAGCCUCUAAGCAUCAGGUAACAUUAAAUCGUACCCCAAACCGACACAGGUGGUCAGGUAGAGAAUACCAAGGCGCUUGAGAGAACUCGGGUGAAGGAACUAGGCAAAAUGGUGCCGUAACUUCGGGAGAAGGCACGCUGAUAUGUAGGUGAAGCGACUUGCUCGUGGAGCUGAAAUCAGUCGAAGAUACCAGCUGGCUGCAACUGUUUAUUAAAAACACAGCACUGUGCAAACACGAAAGUGGACGUAUACGGUGUGACGCCUGCCCGGUGCCGGAAGGUUAAUUGAUGGGGUUAGCGGUAACGCGAAGCUCUUGAUCGAAGCCCCGGUAAACGGCGGCCGUAACUAUAACGGUCCUAAGGUAGCGAAAUUCCUUGUCGGGUAAGUUCCGACCUGCACGAAUGGCGUAAUGAUGGCCAGGCUGUCUCCACCCGAGACUCAGUGAAAUUGAACUCGCUGUGAAGAUGCAGUGUACCCGCGGCAAGACGGAAAGACCCCGUGAACCUUUACUAUAGCUUGACACUGAACAUUGAGCCUUGAUGUGUAGGAUAGGUGGGAGGCUUUGAAGUGUGGACGCCAGUCUGCAUGGAGCCGACCUUGAAAUACCACCCUUUAAUGUUUGAUGUUCUAACGUGGGCCCCUUACCGGGGUUGCGGACAGUGUCUGGUGGGUAGUUUGACUGGGGCGGUCUCCUCCUAAAGAGUAACGGAGGAGCACGAAGGUUGGCUAAUCCUGGUCGGACAUCAGGAGGUUAGUGCAAUGGCAUAAGCCAGCUUGACUGCGAGCGUGACGGCGCGAGCAGGUGCGAAAGCAGGUCAUAGUGAUCCGGUGGUUCUGAAUGGAAGGGCCAUCGCUCAACGGAUAAAAGGUACUCCGGGGAUAACAGGCUGAUACCGCCCAAGAGUUCAUAUCGACGGCGGUGUUUGGCACCUCGAUGUCGGCUCAUCACAUCCUGGGGCUGAAGUAGGUCCCAAGGGUAUGGCUGUUCGCCAUUUAAAGUGGUACGCGAGCUGGGUUUAGAACGUCGUGAGACAGUUCGGUCCCUAUCUGCCGUGGGCGCUGGAGAACUGAGGGGGGCUGCUCCUAGUACGAGAGGACCGGAGUGGACGCAUCACUGGUGUUCGGGUUGUCAUGCCAAUGGCACUGCCCGGUAGCUAAAUGCGGAAGAGAUAAGUGCUGAAAGCAUCUAAGCACGAAACUUGCCCCGAGAUGAGUUCUCCCUGACUCCUUGAGAGUCCUGAAGGAACGUUGAAGACGACGACGUUGAUAGGCCGGGUGUGUAAGCGCAGCGAUGCGUUGAGCUAACCGGUACUAAUGAACCGUGAGGCUUAACCUUACAACGCCGAAG
rnacentral:rRNA from 1 species